GCCUGGAAAUAAUCAGUGCCUCUUCAAUGUUCCAGGAAAAGGCCUGUUGCUAGCUUUGUGUUGUAAAAAGUUAAUGAAUUUUCAUAUGAAAAUAGUUUUUUAAGGCUGUGGACAACAAAGACGUUGGAGGCUUUUACAUUUCCGUGAUCAGUUGCCGUGAAUGAGGACAUCUUACUUAUGUAAAUAGUAUUUACUGUGACGAACUUUGAGGCGUUCCUGGUGGGACGUCUGAGCCCACGACACGUUUCGCAACAUACUCCCUCAGACCUGUUUUUCUGAGGUUAGAAUGGAUCUUGUGAAACAUACCGGUGGCUGCCAUUGUGGAGCUGUGAGGUUUGAAGUGUGGAGCUCUCCAGACCUCCAUGUGUUCCAUUGCAAUAUUUGUACAAAGAAACAAAAUCAUCAUUUCAUUGUCCCCAAAGACAACUUUACACUUUUGCAGGGUUUGGAUCAUCUGACCACAUAUACAUUUAACACUCACAAUGCGAAGCACACCUUCUGUAGAAACUGCGGGGUUCAGAGUUUCUACACGCCACGCUCCAACCCUGAUGGAUACGCCAUCCGAGCCAUUCAUACAGCAGAGGGAGGAGGGCAGCAGCCAGCUGAAAGGAAGUUCCAAGAAAGAAACAUACUUCCGGAGCAGGCCAACAGUCACCAAGGAGAGAAAACAACAGUCUGGGGCAACAGGAAGAGACCGAG